UACGUAGGGUGCUAGCGUUGUCCGGAAUUACUGGGCGUAAAGAGCUCGUAGGUGGUUUGUCGCGUUGUCCGUGAAAACUCACAACUCAAUUGUGGGCGUGCGGGCGAUACGGGCAGACUGGAGUACUGCAGGGGAGACUGGAAUUCCUGGUGUAGCGGUGGAAUGCGCAGAUAUCAGGAGGAACACCGGUGGCGAAGGCGGGUCUCUGGGCAGUAACUGACGCUGAGGAGCGAAAGCGUGGGGAGCGAACAGG
rnacentral:rRNA from 1 species